rnacentral:rRNA from 1 species
UACAGAGGGGGCAAGCGUUAUUCGGAAUUAUUGGGCGUAAAGGGCGCGUAGGCGGCUUGGCAAGUGGAUGGUGAAAUCCCUCGGCUUAACCGAGGAGCUGCCGUCCAAACUGCUUUGCUUGAGGCUGGGAGAGGCGAGUGGAAUUCCCAGUGUAGCGGUGAAAUGCGUUGAUAUCAUCAGGAACACCGGUGGCGAAAGCGGCUUACUGGGUCUCUUCUGACGCUGAGGAACGAAAGCUAGGGUAGCGAACGGG